rnacentral:rRNA from 1 species
AGAGUUUGAUCCUGGCUCAGGACGAACGCUGGCGGCGUGCUUAACACAUGCAAGUCGAACGGAAAGGCCCUUCGGGGUACUCGAGUGGCGAACGGGUGAGUAACACGUGGGUGAUCUGCCCUGCACUUUGGGAUAAGCCUGGGAAACUGGGUCUAAUACCGAAUAUGACCAUGCGCCUCCUGGUGUGUGGUGGAAAGCUUUUGCGGUGUGGGAUGGGCCCGCGGCCUAUCAGCUUGUUGGUGGGGUAAUGGCCUACCAAGGCGACGACGGGUAGCCGGCCUGAGAGGGUGACCGGCCACACUGGGACUGAGAUACGGCCCAGACUCCUACGGGAGGCAGCAGUGGGGAAUAUUGCACAAUGGGCGCAAGCCUGAUGCAGCGACGCCGCGUGAGGGAUGACGGCCUUCGGGUUGUAAACCUCUUUCAGUGCCGACGAAGCGCAAGUGACGGUAGGCAUAGAAGAAGGACCGGCCAACUACGUGCCAGCAGCCGCGGUAAUACGUAGGGUCCGAGCGUUGUCCGGAAUUACUGGGCGUAAAGAGCUCGUAGGUGGUUUGUCGCGUUGUUCGUGAAAACUCACAGCUCAACUGUGGGCGUGCGGGCGAUACGGGCAGACUUGAGUACUGCAGGGGAGACUGGAAUUCCUGGUGUAGCGGUGGAAUGCGCAGAUAUCAGGAGGAACACCGGUGGCGAAGGCGGGUCUCUGGGCAGUAACUGACGCUGAGGAGCGAAAGCGUGGGGAGCAAACAGGAUUAGAUACCCUGGUAGUCC